rnacentral:rRNA from 1 species
GAUGAACGCUGGCGGCGUGCUUAACACAUGCCAGUCGAACGGAAAGGCCCAAGCUUGCUUGGGUACUCGAGUGGCGAACGGGUGAGUAACACGUGGGUGAUCUGCCCUGCACUUCGGGAUAAGCCUGGGAAAAUGGGUAUAAUACCGGAUAGGACCUCUCCUUGGAUGUUGUGGUGGAAAGUUUUUUCGGUGUGGGAUGAGCUCGCGGCCUAUCAGCUUGUUGGUGGGGUAAUGGCAUACCAAGGCGUCGACGGGUAGCCGGCCUGAGAGGGUGUACGGCCACAUUGGGACUGAGAUACGGCCCAGACUCCUACGGGAGGCAGCAGUGGGGAAUAUUGCACAAUGGGCGCAAGCCUGAUGCAGCGACGCCGCGGGGGGGAGGACGGCCUUCGGGUUGGAAACUCCUUUCGCUAGGGACGAAGCGUUUUGUGACGGUACCUGGAGAAGAAGCACCGGCUAACUACGUG